rnacentral:rRNA from 1 species
AUGAACGCUAGCUACAGGCUUAACACAUGCAAGUCGAGGGGCAGCAUUUUAGUUUGCUUGCAAACUGAAGAUGGCGACCGGCGCACGGGUGAGUAACACGUAUCCAACCUGCCGAUAACUCCGGAAUAGCCUUUCGAAAGAAAGAUUAAUACCGGAUAGCAUACGAAUAUCGCAUGAUAUUUUUAUUAAAGAAUUUCGGUUAUCGAUGGGGAUGCGUUCCAUUAGUUUGUUGGCGGGGUAACGGCCCACCAAGACUACGAUGGAUAGGGGUUCUGAGAGGAAGGUCCCCCACAUUGGAACUGAGACACGGUCCAAACUCCUACGGGAGGCAGCAGUGAGGAAUAUUGGUCAAUGGGCGAGAGCCUGAACCAGCCAAGUAGCGUGAAGGAUGAAGGCUCUAUGGGUCGUAAACUUCUUUUAUAUGGGAAUAAAGUUUUCCACGUGUGGAAUUUUGUAUGUACCAUAUGAAUAAGGAUCGGCUAACUCCGUGCCAGCAGCCGCGGUAAUACGGAGGAUCCGAGCGUUAUCCGGAUUUAUUGGGUUUAAAGGGAGCGUAGGUGGAUUGUUAAGUCAGUUGUGAAAGUUUGCGGCUCAACCGUAAAAUUGCAGUUGAAACUGGCAGUCUUGAGUACAGUAGAGGUGGGCGGAAUUCGUGGUGUAGCGGUGAAAUGCUUAGAUAUCACGAAGAACUCCGAUUGCGAAGGCAGCUCACUAGACUGUCACUGACACUGAUGCUCGAAAGUGUGGGUAUCAAACAGGAUUAGAUACCCUGGUAGUCCACACAGUAAACGAUGAAUACUCGCUGUUUGCGAUAUACAGUAAGCGGCCAAGCGAAAGCAUUAAGUAUUCCACCUGGGGAGUACGCCGGCAACGGUGAAACUCAAAGGAAUUGACGGGGGCCCGCACAAGCGGAGGAACAUGUGGUUUAAUUCGAUGAUACGCGAGGAACCUUACCCGGGCUUGAAUUGCAGAGGAAGGAUUUGGAGACAAUGACGCCCUUCGGGGCCUCUGUGAAGGUGCUGCAUGGUUGUCGUCAGCUCGUGCCGUGAGGUGUCGGCUUAAGUGCCAUAACGAGCGCAACCCUUAUCGAUAGUUACCAUCAGGUUAUGCUGGGGACUCUGUCGAGACUGCCGUCGUAAGAUGUGAGGAAGGUGGGGAUGACGUCAAAUCAGCACGGCCCUUACGUCCGGGGCUACACACGUGUUACAAUGGGGGGUACAGAAGGCGGCUACCUGGUGACAGGAUGCUAAUCCCAAAAACCUCUCUCAGUUCGGAUCGAAGUCUGCAACCCGACUUCGUGAAGCUGGAUUCGCUAGUAAUCGCGCAUCAGCCAUGGCGCGGUGAAUACGUUCCCGGGCCUUGUACACACCGCCCGUCAAGCCAUGAAAGCCGGGGGUACCUGAAGUACGUAACCGCAAGGAGCGUCCUAGGGUAAAACUGGUAAUUGGGGCU